rnacentral:tRNA from 1 species
CCGAGAUCGUAUUAUGCAUGCAAGCUCCUGAAAAAAGCCUAAUUGUGGAUCCUUCCAGCAA